GAGAUUUCAACCUGGAAACAGUGCUCUCUCUUCGGCGGCGAGACUGCUUGGGCGGCGGCGACGAUGGAAGGGUUUCGUUCUCUUCUCUUCGAUCAAAAAAAGUAUCAGUUCGAUUCUUGAGAUCUGAGCAAGACAAGGAGCCAGAGCAAGUAACUGUGUCUGAAGUUGUGGGCUCUGGCCCUUCUGAAGAAUGUGUUACAGAUACUCCUCAGGAAAUUAAUGAGUAUGAACUUGUUGAUCCUGUUGAUAUAUUGACUCUUUUAGAGAAGACAGGAUUUUAGGAUGGAGUGGUAAGUCCUCUCAAUCUUUUUUUCAUGUUAUUCACUGACUUUUAACUUUGUGCUUCUAGUUUGUAAUUGUGCUCUCUGAUUAAUGUGAGGAAAAUCCAAUUUAUUAGCUUUCCUCUUUAACUAUGUGAAGCUUAAACCAGGUGAAGCAUUGUAUCUAGGGGCAAAUGAAGUCCAUGUAGGCUAACAUGGUGAGUGUCUUGAAUGCAUGGCAACUUCAGACAUUGUUGUGCGUGCUGGCCUAACUCCAAAGAACUGGGAUGUCCAAAUUCUUUGUUCCAUGCUCACAUACAAACAGAUGAGGAUAUUUUUCAUUGAAAAAUGUUCUGUUUGUUUGGUGGUUCUUGCUCCUUCUAUUUUUAUUUUUUCCUUUUUUAAUAGUAAACCUAACUAAUUCAUGAGGCCUCUAGUUCAUAAAACCCUGUAAUAUCCAAGUGUGCUUUCCUUUAUAAUAUAAGAUGCCAGAAAUUAGAUGCCCUGCCAAAUUGACUGUAUGGGUGGGCAAAACAUUUUUCUUGUUAAAGCAUAAAGAAGGACAAUCUACCUCCAAAAUAGCUACUUUCAUGCCUGUUUAUAUUCCCCACUUUCCAUUCUUUUUGUCCACUAAUGCCUUUUGGCAUAUUCCAAUAUUGUUGUCCAUUUUUAAAAGAAAGGUAUUUUAUUUUGCAUUUUACAAUAUCAUUAUUUUUGGAUGAGUAUGAAUGCAUUUACCAAACCGAAACAAAUUAAACCUUGUGUCUCAAUCAAGUGGGGAUGGCUACAUAAUUUUUUUUUUUUUUGUGGUCAUUUAGCUCUAUCAAAGUUUGUAUGUUCUGUUAAAUUAAAUAAAUUUAUAUUUUCUUUGAUUGUGGUGAGUAUGCAUCAGAUGUCAGCUCAAGUCUUCCAUGUUAAGUAGUUUUCUCUCUAUUCCUACCAUUUCAUGAAUAUAUUCAUUUCUAAUCUAUCUUUUUUAGUUUUACCACAAAUCUAUCCAAAGCAUUCUCAUCUCAGUUGCCCAACACUUUCUUCUACAAAGCAGAAUUGCUGGCCUUCUAUUGAGUAUGAAUGCAUUUAAUAGAGUAAAAUAAAGGGAUGGUUUUGGAAAUUCAGACUAUAUUAGUUGGUUAUGAACACAGUCAAUGCAUAUCCCCUUAAAAAUGUAAUCAGUGGCUUAUUAAAUACAGCCACAUCACCCGCAUGUUUUUGUGUGCACAUGUAGAUGCAACUUCUUCUUAAACACACUUUUAUACUAUUCUCGAGAAGUUAACAGAGACUGGUGGAUGACUAUGAAUGUGCAUUGCGACAAUUGGGUCAUUAAUCAUUACAUUGGAUUCCAACCUCAAGUAUACAGUUGUUCCCUACUGAAACAGCGAAAUGCAGAAAUUGCUCUCUUCAUUUUUACAUUUUCAAAACUAGACAUUGCGAAUGUUGUGCCCUCUUUCUAUUGGCUUCUUGUGCAUUGCUGAUGUUGCGACUUUUUGGCAAUUUACUAGUUUUAAGUUUCACUUCACCAGUGUGAAAGAUAUUGUUUAAUUGUCUUGGUUGGGUUACUCUGUUCUCUAUUGUCAUUGCAUGAUUUGAUAUUUUGUGCGUGUACCACAGAUUUUUACAAACACACCAUCAUGCUUAAAUCUGAGAUGUGGUUAUCUUGUUAGUAAAUAUAUGCACAUGCACUUCUGUUGAUUUGAUAUGGACUUCACUGACAUUUAGAACCUGGAGUAAUUGGAAUUGAUUGAUAUUUACUUCCAUUUUGGGGAAUCCUUUUUAUUUUUAAUCCUCCAGAAUUUAUCAUUUCAUGGUAAUUUGAUGACCAAUAUAUUUACAUUGCGCCAUUUAAUUUAUCAUGAUUUUUUUUUGAUUGUUUAAAAGUCUCUGUGGUUGAGGUAUUCACAGGUUUAGUCUUCUACGGUAGGAGAUGAAUAUUUAAAGUGUAUUAUCAUAUGGAAUUUCAGUAGGUUGGUUGUUACAGUACAAUUUUGUUGUUGAUGGAAACUUGAGGGUCCAAUUGUCUUCUAAUUUUGAUUGUGAUAUCAUUAAGCGACUUUUUCUUAUCUUUUAACUGAUUGAUCUUUGAAAUAUAAAGGACGAUGUUAAGUAUAUAUACAUAUAUGUAUUUAUAUAGACAUUGUAACUUACAUUGGCAUCU